rnacentral:rRNA from 1 species
CGAAAGAAAGAUUAAUACCCGAUGGCAUAGUUCUUCCGCAUGGUGGAACUAUUAAAGAAUUUCGGUCAUCGAUGGGGAUGCGUUCCAUUAGGUUGUUGGCGGGGUAACGGCCCACCAAGCCUUCGAUGGAUAGGGGUUCUGAGAGGAAGGUCCCCCACAUUGGAACUGAGACACGGUCCAAACUCCUACGGGAGGCAGCAUG